AAUAAGGGCUGACCUCAUGUCCCCGGCACCUGGCACUCAAAGGGUCCUCGCCAUGCCACUCUGUGGGGCAUCUGUAUGUGGAAUCAAGGGACAGAGUAUCUGAGUAAUUUGCUUCCCAGAGAAUAUUUACAUUUAAAGCAUGUCAUCUGACUGCUACCCUGUUACCCUCUGACCAGCCAUGCUGGCCACCACCGUGAUGGAGGUGAAGACCUGAGCAAAGCCCUCCAGGAAGGAGAGCAUCACCAGUUUUUGCCAAACUCUCUUUUUAGCUCCCUCCCGAUGCACCUGAAAUUAGACCUGGGUACUGAUCCUUCUACACGUCAAUCUGAGAGGGUUAAUGGGAAUCCACCUACCGAACAUGUAUCCUGCAUUUCUCCUGGCCAGAGAAAUACCAUUUCUACCUCCCUCCAGAAACUUUACCUAUUGCCAAGUCAAGGAAGCAUUCUCACAGUCUGUGUGUCUCACAACAGAAUAUGAAUAGAGAUUACCCAGUGGGCUAGAGUCUCACAUUAAAGUAUGCUGUCCCAUGGUC
rnacentral:lncRNA from 1 species